rnacentral:rRNA from 1 species
AUGUUCAAUACUAUCAUAGAAAGCUUGGAUCUUAGAGAGAUAGAGCUUUCAUGUAGGAAAUUCACUUGGGAAAACUCGCUACCGGUUCCGACUUUUGAGAAGCUCGAUCGUGUUUUGGCGAGCGUCGAUUGGGAACAGAAGUUUCCUCUGGUAACGGUGCAUGCAUUGACACGAGGUAUCUCGGAUCACACACCGUUACUAGUCGACUCUGGAGCUCAAACUCAUAUGGGUAAUAAGAAUAUUUUUUCCUUCGAACUUGCCUGGUUUGAAAGAGAAGGGUUUAUUGAGUUGUUAGCUAGAGAGUGGGCUAAAGACUCGGGGGGAAGGUCACCCAUUGAGCGGUGGCAGUGCAAGAUUCGUCAUCUUCGAAGGUUCCUUCGUGGAUGGGCUAAGCACACGAAUGGGAUAUAUAAGGCUGAGAAGGAAAGACUCCUUAUGCUUAUUCAUUUCCUUGAGUUAAAAGCUGAAACCUCUAUUUUAGAUACUUCCGAGCUGGAGUCUAAAGUGGAGGCCGAGUUGAGGUUGAAAGCACUUCUCUGCGAGGAGGAAUUGAAAUGGGCUUUGAGAGCUAAGGUUCGUAAGGUUGUCCAACGAGAGGACAACACUCAAUUCUUUCAUAUGAUUGCUAAUGGAAAGCAUCGUAAGAAGAGAAUUUUUCAAUUAGAACAAGAUGAAGGGACGAUAGUUGGUCAGGAAAACCUAAAAGUUUACAUUACCAACUAUUAUAAGCAGUUGUUUGGCUCUCCGGAAGAGAGUUUUGUGUCUCUGGAUGAGUCAAGAGUUGAGGAUGUUUCCCAACUUGAGACGGAAGAGAAUGAGAUUUUGACUGCUCCUUUCACGGAGAAAGAGGUGUUUGAGGCUAUUUCACAAAUGAAGAACAAUAAAGCGCCAGGACCAGAUGGGUUUCCAGCGGAGUUCUACAAAAAGUGCUGGCAUUUUAUUAAGUGUGACCUGUUGCCGAUGUUUCAUGAUUUGUUCAAUGGUCAGCUUCAUUUGUUCAAGCUCAAUUUUGGAACGAUAACUCUUCUUCCUAAGAAGACGGAGGCUAUUCGCAUUGAGCAGUUCAGGCCUAUCUGUUUGCUUAAUGUUAGUUUCAAAAUU